UCUGCUCUUAGCUAGACCUGAUAGAUGGCC
rnacentral:piRNA from 1 species